AAUUCCAGCAGCUGGCCUGGAGGAACGGAGAGGGAAGGCAAGUGACGGGAGGAAGCAGGUCACCAUAGCCCAUACCCAGCAGCCUAAGGACAGAAACUGCACCCAGAGAGGAGUCUGACCUGUGGGCCUGGCUUCUGGGGCCCCAGAGGAGCCCCAGGACCAGGACUGGGAGAGCGAGAGGGAGAAAGUUCGGACAGAGCCUGGCAUGUGGGGUUACCUGUCCCUGCUGCCUGCCUUCCUGGCCCUUUGGGCUAUUGCUGGAGUCUGGACCGUGUGAGUGUUAGAGGCAGGAGACCCCUGGGAGGGGCUGGGGUCUGGACUCCUGGGUCUG